UCCCGGUUGGCCCGGGCGGUCUCGCGUGAAAAAUACAACACACGACAAGGGUUGCGCUCGUUGCGGGACUUAACCCAACAUCUCACGACACGAGCUGACGACGGCCAUGCAGCAUCUGUCACCUAUCCAGCCGAACUGACCCCCUAGUUUCCUAGGGGUACGAUAGGGAUGUCAAGCCUCGGUAAGGUUCUUCGCGUAGCAUCGAAUUAAACCACAUGAUCCACUGCUUGUGCGGAGCCCCGUCAAUUCCUUUGAGUUUUAAGCUUGCGCUCGUACUUCCCAGGCGGCAUAUUUAACGCGUUAGCUACUCAGCCCAGAGGGUCGAUACUCCAGACUAAUAAUAUGCAUCGUUUACGGCGUGGACUAC
rnacentral:misc_RNA from 1 species